rnacentral:rRNA from 1 species
GGCCUCAAUGCUAAUAGUAUUGAGGAUUGACGUUACCCACAGAAGAAGCACCGGCUAACUCUGUGCCAGCAGCCGCGGUAAUACAGAGGGUGCAAGCGUUAAUCGGAAUUACUGGGCGUAAAGGGUGCGUAGGUGGUUUUUAAGUCAGAUGUGAAAUCCCUGGGCUCAACCUAGGAAUUGCAUUUGAUACUGAAUAACUUGAGUAUGGUAGAGGGAAGUGGAAUUUCCAGUGUAGCGGUGAAAUGCGUAGAUAUUGGAAGGAACAUCAGUGGCGAAGGCGACUUCCUGGACCAUUACUGACACUGAGGCACGAAAGCGUGGGGAGCGAACAGGAUUAGAUACCCUGGUAGUCCACGCCGUAAACGAUGAGAACUAGAUGUUAGGGGGCUUAGACCUCUUAGUAUCGCAGCAAACGCGUUAAGUUCUCCGCCUGGGGAGUACGGCCGCAAGGUUAAAACUCAAAUGAAUUGACGGGG